AGGGUAGGAGAUGCUAUUAACAUGACCCCUUUAGACAAAAAGUAACCGGAAUAUAACCGUUUUUUUACAAGAGACGGAUGUAGACCGUAGAGCGGUGGGAAUGGCUAUUGAAGCUUGUGUGCGCCACUAAAUUCAUGCCGGCUUUUUACCAUUUUAGUCGUUGAUGCGUUAGAUCACGGGCUCUGGCCUGCAAUUUAACACCGUCUGAUGGUCUUUUGCACCCCAGGGUGUCACUAAUCAUGAUUUUUGCAAAUUACAGGGUUGGGGAAAGAGUUCGCUUAGUUGAACUCAUUGAUCAUCAUCGUAUGAAGGUAGCUCGCAAUGUGAAUUUAGAAAGGCAGCAAAGGAACUAUCUGUUCCGUGAGGGAUGAUAUAGCUGGAUGCAGUGAAAAGGCAUAUGACUCUCUUUCGAUUAAUGACGCACGUUAAAUGCUUAUGUUCUCUUCAGAUCAAGAACUGUCUGGAUAUAUUAAUGAGGUUGUAGCUUAUUAGCCUAUUUACUGAAGCCUAUAUAGUUGGGUGCGGAGGCCCCUCUAUGGCAAGUUGGAACAGGUCAUUUCCACCAGGCUACAAAUCCUGCACCAGAACCUGAGAUGCUCUCUGCCGCCUCUAUAUAGCCCCUGUUCGAAACGUCUUGAUGGCGUAGAAAUGUUUGGUUGGACUACGCCAGCUAUUGUGUAGAAGUGGAGCAAAGGAAAUCAAAAGGAGAAGGUCAACAACAUGGUGUUGUUUGAAUAGCCAACUUAUGAUAAGCUUCUCUCUGAAGCUCCUAAGUUCAAGCUUAUCACUCCUUCCAUCCUUUCUGAUCGUCUGGGGGUAAGAAAGAAUAAAUUUUAGUAGAUAAAUUUUCCACUAUCAAAUGUUGAUCAGAAUGCAUCCCUGGCUCUUUGUUGGAUUCUGUUGUCAAAGGUACAAAUCUGUCUAGCCUGCCAUUGUUUUGUGUGUGGAUAUGAGUAAUGCCUCUUGCGGCACCAACAGCUAGAUCAAUGAGUACAUAUAAAAUGUUUUGCUAUUGUUUUUUUGCAAUUGAGCUUGGUUAUAAAAUGUUUGGCACUACUGCUUUUUACCAAACAGAGGAAGCUUUUGGCAAAGCUAUAUGUGAAGCAGUGAGUCUUGGUUUCAUCAAGUUACUAAGUAUUUCUCACCUCUAAGGUCUGGUGCAAUGAUACUCAGGCAGAUCGUAUCCUCCCUGCUCGACAGAAGACACUACAGAAUAUGAAGUUGGAGUACCUUGAUCAGUGCCUUUUGCCUUGGCCAGUGAGCUUGAAGCCCAAGGCAAACCAUUUUGACCUAAAGCCUGAAGAUGUUCUUCCACUAGACAUUAAAUUUGUUUGGACAGUCAUGUAAACAACAAUGGUGGUUUCAGGUUUCUGCAGUUUUUGUUCAGUUGAUAGAAGUUCGUCCUGCAUUUUUGGAGGUUUUCUUCCUUACAAACGGAGGAACAAAAAGUUACAAUGACGUGAGAAGGAAUUCCCCAGCGGCAGCACUAAAAUUGUGCUUAAAAGAUUCUCGGAAGUUAAAGAUGUACAUAGAAAUUCUGCAGCAGCAAGCAAGAUAAAGAAAUCAAAUCUCUACCUCCUUACAUAUGGGAAAAUGAAACUGAUUGGCUGAUGCAGUAUGGUGCCGUCUUAAAUUUGCAUCAUAUGGUAUAGGUGCCGGUGGUGGCCUGUAAGUGUCUAGAAUUGAAGUUUCAAGAUUUGGAUCAACUAAAAAACCUGUAGAGAGCACAGUCGAUGUGCCAGUAUGGGAGGACAAAGGCUGAUGCUCCUCUGACACUCUUGGAUACUGCAGUGAAUUGUAUAUUGUAGCUUCCGCCAAGGCCAGUUCCUCACACAACUGAAAAUACAAGGAAAGCGGAUCAAAUAAAGGUUCUGGGAUGGAUUAUAACACGGGUUCAAACGAGACAUAAGUUCUAAAUGAACUACAAGCAACAACAAGAAUUUCGCUCUCUAAUGAAUCCUUCGGACGAAUUAUGCAAGAGUAAACGGCCAGCCUCUCCAAGGUCCGGAUAACAAGCAAUUGUAGGUUUUAGCAAUUUCCACAACCAAGUUUAACUUUCUCCAAUCGUCAAAAAACCAAAAUAUUCAAGAUUCUCCAGAGGCUAAACUGUAGGGGCAUUUAUAGCUAUCCAGAAUUUUAUAGUGUCGGUGGUAAUAUUGGUGGAGACGACUGCCAGGCAUCUUCAUCUUCUGCUACAAAUCAAUCAUCCCAUAGAAAGGGCAAUAAAGAAAAGGAGCCUGCAACCUUUGAUCCAUUGCUUGAAGAUCAAUUUUAUCCUGUGCUUCAAAUCAUUUGUCAUGUUUAACAAGAUCUAGAUUUCAGAUCAAUUUGAAAAUGAUACUAAUCAUCUCUUCUCCAGAUUUCUAAUUCUUGAUUGUCGUCCGAUGAUUGAACAGGAUUCACGUAAAAAUGUAAUACCAACUCAUACAUCUUCUAGCAUCUCAUUGAGCUAACCCAGUGGGUCUAUGAAAGGUGGGACCGGUGAACACUCAGCUGCAGAGCAAGGUUUUUACUAUCCGCCUACUAGCUUUUGCCCUCAAGACUACCCAUAUAGACAUUUAACUGUUGAUUUAAUUAGGUCUUGCGAAAUGAUAAUUUACCUUUAGUGUCUUAACUUUGGGUUUAGUUUAGAUACAAUAUUUCACGUUUGUGUUUUUGCUAUAAUAGUUAUAUAAUGGAGGUUAUACUCAUCCGGAUGCUGGCAGUUCUUCCUAUAAAUCAGAUGAUGGUUCACAUCUCUAUUAUCUGCCUACCUAUAACAGUUAUCCUGCUGCCUCAUAUAUGUGUGUUGAUGGGAAUUUAGCCCUACUAUUUUACAUCUGGAUGUCAACAGAAUGCUGAUGCAUAUGGAUUAAAAGUCAUGUGAGAAAACUACUUGAAUGCAGCGCAAGCUAGCAAUGCCACACGCGGGGCAACUGCUGUACAUGGUGGAGAAAAACUCUCUUUGAACUCUGACAUUUCAGAAAAUGAAAAGAUACAAAUUUCUUGAUAGUAUAGCACCUGUACGAUUGGUUCUUGAUUCUUUAUCUAGAUUUUAUUAAAAUUGGCUUCGAUUUUGGAUGGAUAUAAUGUGUGUGUGACUAUUUGCUUAUAGACAAAGUGGUGCUGACAUAUCAUUUAUAGUGGAGGGUACUCUUGAAAUUAGAGGAGUACUCCCUCCAUCCCCUUUUACAUGUCCAUUUUAACUUUUGACUAGUCAAAUUGACUAUA